GAUGAACGCUGGCGGCGUGCUUAACACAUGCAAGUCGAACGAAGCACUUUAUUUGAUUUCCUUCGGGACUGAUUAUUUUGUGACUGAGUGGCGGACGGGUGAGUAACGCGUGGGUAACCUGCCUUGUACAGGGGGAUAACAGUUGGAAACGGCUGCUAAUACCGCAUAAGCGCACAGCAUCGCAUGAUGCAGUGUGAAAAACUCCGGUGGUAUAAGAUGGACCCGCGUUGGAUUAGCUAGUUGGUGAGGUAACGGCCCACCAAGGCGACGAUCCAUAGCCGACCUGAGAGGGUGACCGGCCACAUUGGGACUGAGACACAGCCCAAACUCCUACGGGAGGCAGCAGUGGGGAAUAGUGCACAAUGGGCGAAAGCCUGAUGCAGCGACGCCGCGUGAGCGAAGAAGUAUUUCGGUAUGUAAAGCUCUAUCAGCAGGGAAGAUAAUGACGGUACCUGACGAAGAAGCACCGGCUAAAUACGUG
rnacentral:rRNA from 1 species